rnacentral:rRNA from 1 species
AUGUGGAUUAAUUCGAUGCAACGCGAAAAACCUUACCUACCCUUGACAUGUACGGAAGUCACGAGAGAUCGAGAUGUNCUCGAAAGAGAACCGUAACACAGGUGCUGCAUGGCUGUCGUCAGCUCGUGUCGUGAGAUGUUGGGUUAAGUCCCGCAACGAGCGCNACCCUUGUCAUUAGUUGCUACAUUUAGUUGAGCACUCUAAUGAGACUGCCGGUGACAAACCGGAGGAAGGUGGGGAUGACGUCAAGUCCUCAUGGCCCUUAUGGGUAGGGCUUCACACGUCAUACAAUGGUACAUACAGAGGGCCGCCAACCCGCGAGGGGGAGCUAAUCCCAGAAAGUGUAUCGUAGUCCGGAUCGCAGUCUGCAACUCGACUGCGUGAAGUUGGAAUCGCUAGUAAUCGCGGAUCAGCAUGUCGCGGUGAAUACGUUCCCGGGUCUUGUACACACCGCCCGUCACACCAUGGGAGCGGGUUUUACCAGAAGUAGGUAGCUUAACCGCAAGG